rnacentral:rRNA from 1 species
GUAAGUGUCGAAGCCAGCUUAACUGCGAGACAGACACGAGGAGCAGGUACGAAAGUAGCGCAUAGUGAUCCGGUGGUUAUGAAUGGAAGGGCCAUCGCUCAACGGAUAAAAGGUACUCCGGGGAUAACAGGCUGAUACCGCCCAAGAGUUCAUAUCGACGGCGGUGUUUGGCACCUCGAUGUCGGCUCAUCACAUCCUGGGGCUGAAGUCGGUCCCAAGGGUAUGGCUGUUCGCCAUUUAAAGUGGUACGCGAGCUGGGUUUAGAACGUCGUGAGACAGUUCGGUCCCUAUCUGCCGUGGGCGUUUGAGAAUUGAGAGGGGUUGCUCCUAGUACGAGAGGACCGGAGUGAACGAACCGCUGGUGUUCGG